AAUGAUAUGCCAGUUUUUGCAUCAAUUGUAGAAACAUUUGUACUUGCUGCAGACAAGAUUUACUUUAUUCUGGAGAGAUUUAUAACAGUUAAAUUCUCAUGCCAUUUCCAUUGCUACGAAGUUCAAAGGCAUGCUAAUGCACAAGCAUUUAUACUUCAGCCUACAAUGCUAAGGAUGUACCUUCCCAUGCAUACAACAAAGGCAUCUUCCUGGGAAAAUGAUGUUCUAUAUGUCAUGUCAAGAUACCAACUCCCACAAACACUUUAGAGUUUACUAUAAAUAUAGCUAUUACUGUAAAUAUGUAUAUGUAAAUAUAUAUUGCUGUAAAUAUAGAUAUUACUGUAAACAUAGUUACCACAAAAAGAUGAAUUUAACAACUUCAACGCCUAAUAUUCAAAUAUCCGGGACCGGCCUUUUUUUCGCUGGUACAGCCAGGCUAUGCAGGCUACGUGAUGAUUCACCACGUGCUCAAGAUGGCGGAACGAGUAAACAUUGAAGAGGCAUGAAAGCCAAGAGAGAGAGAUGAGGCACAAGUCAACCAAACACGCGAUCAAAAAGAUUUAAGAUGAUUCGUAUGAGGUGUUAGAGGCAGAAAGAAAAGAAAAGAAGAAAACCAGGAGAG